ACUCACUCCAAACACUCCACACAGUUACUCUGCCCAGUCCAACCUUUCCACAGUUACUAAAGCCACUCCAACCAUCUAAACUACUUCAAAUUGGAACAUGGACACAGCGUAAAACUUCAAAGUUAGAAAAAAACUGAAUGGCUGCGUGUCAAAUGUGCCCCUUCAACAUCCACAUAUACCUGGCAAAGGUACAUACGGGGGUAUUGCUGUACUCAGACCACAUAGCUGAGCAACAUAUGAAGUAUUGUACAGUCGUAGCACAAAUAAGGUUUGCAAAAUAUACUGUGCAAACUCACUUUGUGUGUCAAAAAGGCAGAAAAAACGCUUAUUACCACUAAACUUGGUACAAGCUAGCAGAAAAAUGAUCCCACGCUAAGAUUCAAAAUAUGCCUUUUGAAAUACCCUGGGAUGUCUUCUUUAAGAAAUGGUAUGGCUUUAUGGGGUAUUUGGAUUAUAUAGCCUGGUGAAAUACUCUAAAUUUUUACGCUGUGCUCAUGUCCCAUUUUAAAGUUUGAAAAAAACUGGAAUUGCUGUGUCCCAAAUGUGCCCCUCUGAUGUCCACAUAAACCUGGCAAAAGUACAUACGGGGAUAUUGCUGUACUCAGCCAACAUAGCUGAGCAACAUAUGAAGUAUUAUACAGUCGUAGCACACAUAAGGCUUGCAAAAUAUACUGUGCAAACUCCCUUUGUGUGUCAAAAAGGCAGAAAAAAUGCUUAUUACCACCACAAUUGGUACAAGCUAGCAGAAAAAUGAUCCCACGCUAAGGUUCAAAAUAUACCUUUUGAAAUACCCUAGGGUGUCUACUUUAAGAAAUGGUAGGUCUUUGUGGGGUAGUUUGAAUUUAAAACCUGCAAAGAUGCUUGGAAAUUGCACAUAGGCCCAGCGACAAAAUUCAAAGUUCGGUAAAAACUGAUAUGGCUUGGUCUCCUACAUGGCACUGUAGCUUCACGAAAUAGUGUCAAAGACAUUCACUGGGGGUGUCUUUUUACUCAGAAAACUUAGCUGAGCAUAAUUUGGGGGGUUUGAACUUAGUGGCACAUAUGAAAUAGACAAAAUGCCCAGCAAAAAUGCAAUCCGUAUGUAAAAAAUUAUUUUUUACCACAUACUUUGGCAUAUAUUGGUAAAAAAAUGGGGGCCUGUUAAGGCACAAUAUGUACCUUAUGAGAUACCCUGGAGUGUCUACUUUUACAAAUGGUAGGCCUUUGUGGUUUUUUUUUGAACAGUCAAACUACUAUAAUACCCCAAAUGGAAGCAACGGCUCAUUAAAUCCGUCUCUCAAAAUUCUACUGUGAAUACUGAAAAGGACAGGUAUCCUAUAUGGCACUGUAACUUCACGAAAUAGUGCCAAAGACAUACAAUGGGGGUGUCAUUUUACUCAGCAGAUGUAACUGAACACUAAAUAAAACUUUGUACAGGAAUAGCACACACCAACUUUACAAAAUACACAUGAGAAUUUCUUUGUUAUAAGUUUGUGUGCCAAAAACCCCAAAAUUUUACUUCAAUAUUUAGCAGAGAAUGGCGGUGAAAUGGCUACGUAGAAAGUGUCAAAACAACCUUAGGUAAAUAGCCUGUGAUAUCUACUUUAUAUAAAUAUAUACUUUUGUUUUCUUUUAUGGCUAUUAAGCUUACAAGACAAACAUACCAAAUUCUAAAAUCGCUCUACAUUAAAAGUUUAUUUUACUCCUUGUGCUUUGUGACCUGUAACUACCAAAAAAACCUUAAAAUCCCAGACACAUUAUAUAUUCUGUAAAUCAGAACAACUAAAUGAAUUUAUUUUUAAUUACUUUUCU
rnacentral:lncRNA from 1 species